GAGGGUAUAGCUCAGUGGUAGAGUAUGUGCUUAGCAUGCACAAAGUCCUGGGUUCAACCCCCAGUACCACCA
rnacentral:tRNA from 1 species